CCCUUAGAUGUUCUGGGCUGCACGCGCGCUACACUGAUGCACUCAACGAGUUUACGACCUUGCCCGAUAGGGUUGGGUAAUCUUUUUAAAAUGCAUCGUGAUGGGGAUAGAUUAUUGCAAUUAUUAAUCUUCAACGAGGAAUUCCUAGUAAGCGCGAGUCAUCAGCUCGUGCUGAUUACGUCCCUGCCCUUUGUACACACCGCCCGUCGCACCUACCGAUUGAAUGGUCCGGUGAAGGCUUCGGAGGCGGCUUUCUCAAUGUUUAUUCGGCGAGACUGCUGCCAAAGUUGAAUGAACCUUACCAUUUAGAGGAAGGUGAAGUCGUANCA
rnacentral:rRNA from 1 species